AAGUAAAAAGGACGAAGAAGUGAAGACGCCAUGACAGCCAAGACGCACCUGUCCUUUCUUCACGAGUCAACCAACGAACGCCUGGGCCACCAUGAUCCUGAGAUGUACGAACCGUACAUGCGCACCAUCAUCUGCGGCAUCAUGACGAUCUUCAGCAUCGCCUGCGUCAUCAUCAUCGCCUACAUAGCCGCGAGCCAUCCCGAAGC
rnacentral:lncRNA from 1 species